rnacentral:rRNA from 1 species
AUUGAACGCUGGCGGCAGGCCUAACACAUGCAAGUCGAACGAGUGGCGGACGGGUGAGUAAUGUCUGGGAAACUGCCCGAUGGAGGGGGAUAACUACUGGAAACGGUAGCUAAUACCGCAUACCAUCGGAUGUGCCCAGAUGGGAUUAGCUAGUAGGUGGGGUAACGGCUCACCUAGGCGACGAUCCCUAGCUGGUCUGAGAGGAUGACCGGGCACACGGGAACGGAGACAGGGACCAGACACAAAGGGGAGGCAGCAGUGGGGAAUAUUGCACAAUGGGCGCAGGCCGGAUGCAGCCAUGCCGCGUAUAUGAAGAAGGCCUUCGAGUUGUAAAGUACUUUCAGCGAGGAGGCGUUACUCGCAGAAGAAGCACCGGCUAACUCCGUGCCAGCAGCCGCGGUAAUUC